rnacentral:rRNA from 1 species
UAGGGAAUCUUCGGCAAUGGACGGAAGUCUGACCGAGCAACGCCGCGUGAGUGAAGAAGGUUUUCGGAUCGUAAAGCUCUGUUGUAAGAGAAGAACGAGUGUGAGAGUGGAAAGUUCACACUGUGACGGUAUCUUACCAGAAAGGGACGGCUAACUACGUGCCAGCAGCCGCGGUAAUACGUAGGUCCCGAGCGUUGUCCGGAUUUAUUGGGCGUAAAGCGAGCGCAGGCGGUUAGAUAAGUCUGAAGUUAAAGGCUGUGGCUUAACCAUAGUACGCUUUGGAAACUGUUUAACUUGAGUGCAAGAGGGGAGAGUGGAAUUCCAUGUGUAGCGGUGAAAUGCGUAGAUAUAUGGAGGAACACCGGUGGCGAAAGCGGCUCUCUGGCUUGUAACUGACGCUGAGGCUCGAAAACGUGGGGAGCAAACAGGAUUAGAUACCCUGGUAGUCCACGCCGUAAACGAUGAGUGCUAGGUGUUAGACCCUUUCCGGGGUUUAGUGCCGCAGCUAACGCAUUAAGCACUCCGCCUGGGGAGUACGACCGCAAGGUUG